AACGAACGCUGGCGGCAUGCCUAACACAUGCAAGUCGAACGAGACCUUCGGGUCUAUUGUCGCACGGGUUCGUAACGCGUGGGAACCUGCCCUUAGGUUCGGAAUAACUCCCCGAAAGGGGUGCUAAUACCGGAUAAUUUCUUCGGACCAAUGAUUUAUCGCCUUUGGAUGGGCCCGCGUUGGAUUAGCUAGUUGGUAGGGUAAAAGCCUACCAAGGCGACGAUCCAUAGCUGGUCUGAGAGGAUGAUCAGCCACACUGGGACUGAGACACGGCCCAGACUCCUACGGGAGGCAGCAGUGGGGAAUAUUGGACAAUGGGCGAAAGCCUGAUGCAGCAAUGCCGCGUGAGUGAUGAAGGCCUUAGGGUUGUAAAGCUCUUUUACCAGGGAUGAUAAUGACAGUACCGGGAGAAUAAGCUCCGGCUAACUACGUG
rnacentral:rRNA from 1 species